rnacentral:lncRNA from 1 species
UUUUAAUUAGAGUUUCAAAAUAUUAUUUAAUUGGUUAAAUAUUAACAAAUUAUUUAUAUUAAAAUAAUAUAAUAAAAUAUUUAAUAAUAAUAAUAAUAAUAAUAAUAAUAAUAUAGGAAAUUUUAGUAAAUUAUAAUAAAUUUAAAUUUAAAAAUAAAAUAUCACACGUCUCAAAGUUUGAGGACUAAAGAUAUAAUUUAUACUAAAAA